AAGAGAGAGAAAAUCACUCAACCUCACUUUUCUUCCUCCUCGCCUCUCACCCUCUCAUUUUUCUAUGUAAGAACAUGAAACCCUACUUCUGCAAUGGUGAACUGAACCCAAACCCUGUCUUCCUUUUCUAUCAUCAUAGAUCAUAUCCCCAUCAUGAACUCUUUUCUUUCAUCACCAUCAACAGUUCUUUUAGUUGUCAUACUCAAAAUCAACAAAACCCUUAAAAACCUAGAAUCAAAAUCUGGUUUGUUUCUCAAUAAUUGAGUACAAAAUCAACUCGAACCUCACUGUCACUUCACAGAUCGAAACUCACUGUCAGCAAUCCAUGCUUUAUCCUUAACCCUUAUCUUAAAAUCGAAACCCAUGUAUCAGCGGAAAUUAAAAUGAAACUCUGUAAACCUAGGUCUAGUUUUUUUUGCUCCUGAAAUUAUCAGGUAAGGUGUUUCCUUUUCUACUUUUCCUUACACAAUUCAUCAAGUUGGUUGAAGAUCUCUUCUACUAAUGUUGAGGAGAACAUCUUUAACUUCUCAAAGAAGGGUUUAAUCUCAUCAUAGAUUGGUAUUGGUUUCAUGAUUCUCAUGAAGUGGGGUUAAGUUUUUGUGAUGAAGUUAGGCCCCUGCAUCAUUUUUAGGUAAGAUAUAUUGGUUACAGCUAGCCUUGAGUCCACAGGAAGAUGCAGGGUCGUGUUGUCGUUUAGAUUUUUUCACAAUAUGAGACUGUACUUGCUCAUGGGUUUACUGUACUAAUGUUAAAAAACCUUGUUGUACUAAUAUUUAAAUGCCUGAUCGACUGCAAUUUUAUUUUUAUAUCAUUUAUCCGACCUUGUAAAAAAAUGGUUAUAUGUUUUAGAUACCGAGUUAGUUUUGUUUUGGACACCGAUGUUAUAACUUGAGGAUUUGCAUGCAUCACAAAACUCUGGCUUCAUAGAAGAAUACAUAUUUUUCUUUGUUAUGUUCCUGUAGUAUAGCUGUUGAUGCUGUGAAUAUUAAGGAUAUUUGUAUGAUUUAUUGAAAAUGUGAAGAUUUUUUACACUUAUUUACUUAGUUGGAUAUGAUUCGUGAGCUGGCAUCACUUUUGUACCAUCAAUCUUGCUUAAGUGUUGGACUUGCUUAAAUCCAAAAUUUCUGGUUCCUAGGGUAUAUGUCAUGUAUUAUUAGUAGAUUAAUUCGUUUUUCAUGUAUAGUGGUAUAAGUGAUGAAAUUUAUUCCCAAGUUAAAUAUGUAUCAUAACUUCGAUUUUUAUGUUGUGUAAGCAUAAUAUGGAUCCUGUACUAGUCCUUGUAUCAUCUUACAUUAAAGCAUGUGUAUAAGAAGAUUGGUAUACAGGCUAUGAAGUCUUAUAUUUGGCUACAAACUUCUGAUGGUUCCAUCCAGCAAGUAGAAAAAGAGGUGGUUACAUUCAUCCCAAUGAUUUGUAGAGAGGUGCUAGAAAAUAGCAUGGGAUCAACUAAGAACUGCGCUAACAUCUCAAAGCAUGCCAUAUAAAUCCUGGUCACAUACCUUUAUUUUACUUAAAAGUCAUGCAGUCUAACUCAUUAAUUUUAGAGGGAGUUACCAUUUUUCGGGCCACCGGAUAUGUAAAAUUCUUCUUGAUAUUGCUUUAUUUUUCAGUGUGGCGCAACAUCUCCCAGGUUUGGAGCUUAUCGAAGGGGACAGUUGUAGUGAAAUUUAAUGCCUAUGAGAAUGUAAAUUUGGUAUGUGUGGUCUGAUAAGCUGCUAUCAUGUCUACAACUCUUGACCAGAGUAGUGCCCACUGAAUUUCUUUGUUACUAUUUGCGUUGUAGUACUAACCUAUAUUCGGUUAGUAUGUUGCAGAACAAACUAUUAGUGUCAAUGACGAUAACAAAGUUGGAAAUGUCAGAAAGCCAUUAAUCUGUCUUAGUCAGCUCUUCUUAUUGCUUGUUAUGAUUGCUGCAUCUUCGUAUGGUUUUUUGUUGGUUAUUUGCUUAAGUUCUAAAGACACGAACACUAUUCAGUAGAGACACAUUUAUGAGAGCUAAAAAAAUUGUUUGCCUAUUUUACUAAUUGUUUUCUACUAUGGAUUACAGGCUAUGAAGAUUGCAGGUAUCUUAUUCAUCGGGGUUCCUUGACAUGUUCAAGUACGCCAUUUUAACCAAGAUGGAAGUGCUGAAUUUGAGUCUAGGAGGCCCUGAUUACUCGGCUCUUCUUUUUGUUAAGGAUUCAUAAAGAGAUUAAUAUCUCAAGAAUAUGUAGCGUAUAAUUUGGUUGAGCUCAUAAAAAUGCUAGGAGAACAACUAUUUCCGCUCGUCAAGAGCAUCGAGCACGAUUUUGCAGGCAAGCUCUUAGAGAUGGAUAAAACCGAAGUGCUCCAUCUGUUACCCAGAUGCUUUGAAGAAAAAAGUUUCAGAAGCCAUGGCCGUUUUGGAGCGAACUGGACGCAUGUUUUGAGGAGGUAUUACUUAUAGUCCCUAAGCGAGUCUAAUCUUUAUUGCAUUCUCUUUUUGGUU